AAAAAAAAAAAAAAAAAAAAAAAAAAA
rnacentral:ribozyme from 1 species